rnacentral:rRNA from 1 species
CCUACGGGUGGCUGCAGUGGGGAAUAUUGCACAAUGGGGGAAACCCUGAUGCAGCGACGCCGCGUGAAGGAAGAAGUAUUUCGGUAUGUAAACUUCUAUCAGCAGGGAAGAAAAUUACGGUACCUGACUACGCAUCCCCGGCUAACUACGUGCCAGCCGCCGCGGUACUACGUAGGGGGCAAGCGUUAUCCGGAUUUACUGGGUGUAAAGGGAGCGUAGGCGGCGAUGCAAGUCAGAAGUGAAAGCCCGGGGCUCAACUCCGGGACUGCCUUUGAAACUGUGUUGCUAGAUUGCAGGAGAGGUAAGGGGAAUUCCUAGUGUAGCGGUGAAAUGCGUAGAUAUUAGGCGGAACACCAGUGGCGAAGGCGGCUUACUGGACUGUAAAUGACGCUGAGGCUCGAAAGCGUGGGGAGCAAACAGGAUUAGAUACCCGUGUAGUC